UACGAAGGGGACUAGCGUUGUUCGGAGUCACUGGGCGUAAAGCGCACGUAGGCGGAUAUGUCAGUCAGGGGUGAAAUCCCGGGGCUCAACCUCGGAACUGCCUUUGAUACAGCAUAUCUUGAGUCCGAUAGAGGUGGGUGGAAUUCCUAGUGUAGAGGUGAAAUUCGUAGAUAUUAGGAAGAACACCGGUGGCGAAGGCGGCCCACUGGAUCGGUACUGACGCUGAGGUGCGAAAGCGUGGGGAGCAAACAGG
rnacentral:rRNA from 1 species